rnacentral:rRNA from 1 species
AUGGACAAUAUGUUGGUUGACUUAGGUGGUAGCCAUCCUCCACCGGUUACUGAGGAGCCAACCUCCUCUGCCAAGGCUUUUUAUAGGAUGGUCAGUAGUGCCGAUGAAUUGGUACAUGAGAAUACAAAACACACACGUCUUUCUGCUGUAGCUCGCUUGCUGGCUAUGAAAUCACAAUACAACAUGUCCAUUGCACAUUUUGAUGAUACCUUAAAAAUAAUCCAUGAACUUUUGCCUCCUGAAUCUAAUUUGUCCGAAGACUUCUACCAAUCCAAGAAACUCUUAGAAGGUCUUGGUAUGCCAUAUGUUAAAAUAGAUGUGUACAAAAAUAAUUGCAUGUUGUAUUACAAAGAUAACAAACAUAAAGAGAAGUGUGACUUUUGUGGCACAUCUCGUUACGAGGAAGGCCAAAAGAAAAUCCCACGUAAAGUUUUGCGGUACCUCCCUCUAAAAGAUAGAUUGCAAAGGUUGUAUGCCAAUGAG